AUUGAACGCUGGCGGCAGGCCUAACACAUGCAAGUCGAGCGGAUGAAGGGAGCUUGCUCCUGGAUUCAGCGGCGGACGGGUGAGUAAUGCCUAGGAAUCUGCCUGGUCGUGGGGGAUAACGUCCGGAAACGGGCGCUAAUACCGCAUACGUCCUGAGGGAGAAAGUGGGGGAUCUUCGGACCUCACGCUAUCAGAUGAGCCUAGGUCGGAUUAGCUAGUUGGUGGGGUAAAGGCCUACCAAGGCGACGAUCCGUAACUGGUCUGAGAGGAUGAUCAGUCACACUGGAACUGAGACACGGUCCAGACUCCUACGGUAGGCAGCAGUGGGGAAUAUUGGACGAUGGGCGAAAGCCUGAUCCAGCCAUGCCGCGUGUGUGAAGAAGGUCUUCUGAUUGUAAAGCACUUUAAGUUGGGAGGAAGGGCAGUAAGUUAAUACCGUGCUGUUUUGACGUUACCAACAGAAUAAGCACCGGCUAACUUCGUG
rnacentral:rRNA from 1 species